AAGAAGAAAUUAUGUCACGUGACCGAAGAGGAAGUUGUAGUGGCGAUGAUACAGAGGGAGAGCGCGCUGAAAGAAGUUAAAUACGGCAUGUUUUUAGCGUUUUUGAGGAUGGAGGGUCAUAUUUAUGGCGUUGCUGAAGAAAGAGCACCAGCACCCGAAUCUACGUCAUCAAAGAAAAGGAAAUACGGCACCGAGAAACGUGUUUCGCGGCAGACGCCGAGAGAUAACGACAGUAAACGUCGCUGUUACCGAGUGGAGUGAUGAGAAGGACGACAGCUGAGAUGAGGAGCAUCUUCCACCAGUUACAGUGUCGGGUAUGUUGUCAGUCAGACUACAAUCUCUUUACAGUCACAGUCAGAACUGACAGGAAAGAAUCAUGGCUAUGUUUUACACAGCUGUACUAAAUAAUUCAACUGUUAAACUUUAAGUGUAAAAUCUUUUCUUGUGUUCUUUUGUUUCAUUCACACCAACUGCUUCGUCUUCAGUCGUCCAGUGUAGAGGACAGAAUUCUGCUCCUGCCCUGAAAGAAGAGAAGACCUAAACCGUCAUCCCUGAGCUACAAGCAAGGACCGUGCAGAGCGCUCAACCGAGGAGUGAGGACGCGUCAACAUCAGAGACUUUGACCAGGUGACCACGGACGGCCUGGUUUAGUUCAACCCAGCCCUGCACCGUCCACGUCAGUGUUGAAGUCAGGAGAGGUCUGGGACCUGACUUCCAUUUGGCUGAAUGAAGUGAAACUUUUUGAAAUGCAACUGGCAUAAAGAUGGAACAUACUGUAUUUUUGUUGUUAGUAUUUAAUAUAAGAAAUCAUUGCCAUUUUAGCUGAUGUCUAAUUUUAUUAGCCUUGGUGGUUUUGAUAUUCAACCUGCAAUUUAACAUGGGCCUGUUAUUAAUUCUAUUUGAGAAUAUAAAAAGAAAGAUGCCUUUUUUUACUUCACAGGAGGGAAACUGUUUAAAGUUUAAAGAAAGCCAAUAAAACAGUUUUUGAAUUUAAAUAUAA